GAAGUCUCUGUCCAAAAAGUACAUAUUGACUGCUCGAAUUCAAUCACUAUUGCUUAUUUAAUUUUUCAAUUACAUAAGAUUUUUGUUUUUGCUGAGGAUGGUGGCCACAGCCCACAUGAGCUCUACGCUGAUGCGUGGUUAAGAGACGGUGAGUGAUCAGAGAUGAUCAGACCAUAAAAUAUUAUAUCAUAUAGGUACUGAAUAAACAGCUUGAAUCUGAGAUCACCCGCUGCUCCUUCUUCAUCACCAUUCGUGCAAAAUCAUGACGUCAAGUCACGUGAGCACGCAGACCAAUCAAUUUCACCAUGACAACCAAAUUAUUCAGUGUAUCUGGGAUUCGAAAAGUUCUAUUCAGACACCUGCCGGAGCUGUUUGUUGCAGCAUAUCCAAGCUCCAUCCUCCUCUGCAGUUUUUGCUGAAUUCUGACGCUAGUAUGUAGAAACUCUCAAUCCAGAUUACUCGAGUCAACUUCGUACUUCACACAAUGAGAGGAAGUUGAUUGAAGUCUUCUCACAAAACGUUAUGGAAAUAAUACUUAGGUGGUUCGGACAGCCCCAUUCAUGCGUGUACAAUGUUGAACAAAAUCAGAAAGAUUCAAGUGUCAACUUCAACUUCGAAGUUUCAACUUGGGCUGGAAGCUUCAAGUGUGCAACUGUUCUCAACGGAGAAGGACUUUAUUGAUGCUUCUACUUCUUUUGCAUUGAAGGCUGGAGGCGUGGGACUGGGACAUGGAUGGAUUGUGCGAGACGCGACGCAAGGUUCAUGCUACACAGAGCACCAACAAAUGCUGACCUACAAGACCAUUCAAGAAUGUCAAUUGUGUUCUACCAGCAUAAAGGGCUCAAUAAGGACAAGGACAACCAUGGGUCUCCUCACUUGGCUCAGCUUUAUUGCAAAAUGCGAGACGACUGGAUGACUACAUCAGAAUGGUCAGAGUAAUGAGUGGGCGAAUGGUGGUUGAACGUCAUCUUCUUGCCUCAAGGAACCCAUAUCUGCAUCAGGUCAAUGUAGCUGAAAUUCGGCUGGCAAGUUAGUUUUCGGCAUAGCAACCACCCGGACACCAUGGUGACCAAGGGUCAGCACUCGUGUAUGAUCACAGGCUGGAGGCGUGGGACUGGGACAUGGAUGGAUUGUGCGAGACACAAGGCUCAUGCUACCCAGAGCACCAACAAAUGCUGACCUACAAGACCAUUCAAGAAUGUCAAUUGUGUUCUACCAGCAUAAAGGAGAAGGACAACCAUGGGUCUCCUCACUUGGCUCACAACUGUACAACUCACUACUUCAUCAAGAUAAUGUAGCUGAAAAUUAACUGGCAACAGAAGUUUUGCAGAGAAUCUACAUGCAAAGUAUCCACCAGGUCAACAUGGUGACCAAGGAUCAGUACUACCCAGCGAGUAAAUACUAAUCA